rnacentral:rRNA from 1 species
AGUGAAUGCUGGCGGUAGGCCUAACACAUGCAAGUCGAACGGCAGCACAGUAAGAGCUUGCUCUUACGGGUGGCGAGUGGCGGACGGGUGAGGAAUACAUCGGAAUCUACUUUUUCGUGGGGGAUAACGUAGGGAAACUUACGCUAAUACCGCAUACGACCUACGGGUGAAAGCAGGGGAUCUUCGGACCUUGCGCGAUUGAAUGAGCCGAUGUCGGAUUAGCUAGUUGGCGGGGUAAAGGCCCACCAAGGCGACGAUCCGUGGCUGGUCUGAGAGGAUGAUCAGCCACACUGGAACUGAGACACGGUCCAGACUCCUACGGGAGGCAGCAGUGGGGAAUAUUGGACAAAGGGCGCAAGCCUGAUCCAGCCAUACCGCGUGGGUGAAGAAGGCCUUCGGGUUGUAAAGCCCUUUUGUUGGGAAAGAAAAGCAGCAGGUUAAUACCCCGCUGUUCUGACGGUACCCAAAGAAUAAGCACCGGCUAACUUCGUG